CAGUAGCCGCGGUAAUACAGAGGGUGCGAGCGUUAAUCGGAUUUACUGGGCGUAAAGCGUGCGUAGGCGGCUAAUUGAGUCGGAUGUGAAAUCCCCGAGCUUAACUUGGGAAUUGCAUUCGAUACUGGUUAGCUAGAGUGUGGGAGAGGAUGGUAGAAUUCCAGGUGUAGCGGUGAAAUGCGUAGAGAUCUGGAGGAAUACCGAUGGCGAAGGCAGCCAUCUGGCCUAACACUGACGCUGAGGUACGAAAGCAUGGGGAGCAAACAGGAUUAGAUACCCGUGUAGUCCCUGUCUCUUAUAU
rnacentral:rRNA from 1 species